rnacentral:sRNA from 3 species
GAGCGCAGCGAGAAAGCGUUGCCGUAGGCAACGACCCGAAGGGCGAAGCGCGCAGCGCUGAGUAAUCCUUCCCCCGUCAUCC